rnacentral:rRNA from 1 species
GACGAACGCUGGCGGCGUGCUUAACACAUGCAAGUCGAACGGAAAGGCCCUGCUUGCAGGGUACUCGAGUGGCGAACGGGUGAGUAACACGUGGGUGAUCUGCCCUGCACUUCGGGAUAAGCCUGGGAAACUGGGUCUAAUACCGGAUAGGAGCCAUUUUUAGUGUGAUGGUUGGAAAGUUUUUUCGGUGUAGGAUGAGCUCGCGGCCUAUCAGCUUGUUGGUGGGGUAAUGGCCUACCAAGGCGGCGACGGGUAGCCGGCCUGAGAGGGUGGACGGCCACAUUGGGACUGAGAUACGGCCCAGACUCCUACGGGAGGCAGCAGUGGGGAAUAUUGCACAAUGGGCGCAAGCCUGAUGCAGCGACGCCGCGUGGGGGAUGACGGCCUUCGGGUUGUAAACUCCUUUCGCUAGGUACGAAGCUUUUUGUGACGGUACCUAGAUAAGAAGCACCGGCUAACUACGUG